rnacentral:rRNA from 1 species
ACGCUCGACACCUACUGGAGGCAGCAGUAGGGAAUUUUCGGCAAUGGGGGGAACCCUGACCGAGCAACGCCGCGUGAAGGAAGAAGGAAUUCGUUCUGUAAACUUCUGUUAUAAAGGAAGAACGGCGGAUAUAGGGAAUGAUAUCCGAGUGACGGUACUUUAUGAGAAAGCCACGGCUAACUACGUGCCUAGCAGCCGCGGUAAUCUGAGCGGGCUGGCAAGGC